rnacentral:lncRNA from 1 species
UUUAUUUCAUAAAAAAAUAUUAUAAUUAUUGAUCUUUGGUCAAAAUUUGUAUAAAAUUUAAUAAACAUUUUGUUUAGUUAACUAAAAGUAAUCAUAAAAACUCAAAAGUUAUAAAAAAUCAGUUAAAAAAUAAAUUUGAGGCGUCUAUUUCGAAGCAUCCUAACAGUUGACUGAGUCUUCACACAUUUUUUACCAAAUUUGUUUGGUGAAGAUGCACAGAGACUUCCUAAACUUUUAGCUUUUGGGCUUAAGUAAUUUUAUGAAAAACUUUAUGAAUUUUUAUCAAAUUCAUUAAAAAUUUUACCACAUUUAACAAUUUUAAUUAUCUGUCGUCAUUUUAGUUAAUUCAUUAGUAAUUUCACCAGAUUUAUAGUUGAGGGGUAUCUAUAUAUUUUUAUCCACAUUAGAAGGGAGGAUACUAUUUCGUGCGCCGGAUAUGUAAGUAAUUUCUAUGCACUUCAUUUUCAAAACCCCAAAUAUAAAAAUUAAAACUCUAAUAAUUUUUAAUACAAAGCCUUUCUACAUAGUAUAAAUCGCAUCUAUAAAAUUAGAUUUAAUUUUAUAAUAUUAAAUAUUAAAAAUUAGGGUCGGUGUAUGUAAUAUUUAUAGAGGGGUGUAGGCAAUUUUUUUUUAUAGUUGAGGAUUGGCUCGGGAGGAGAAAUCAUUCCAUACACCGGGUCUAUACUUAUAUCUUAUACUUCGUAUUGAUAAAUCUCUAUUGUUGGAAUUUAAACUCUAUAAUACUUUGUACAUAGGUUUUUCAUUCGAUGUAGAUUAUACUUAUUAAAUAGUAUUUUGGUUUUAAAAUAUUAAUAACUGAAAAAAAAGUUUAGUGCAUAUGAUAUUUUAAUUGGCCAGAUGCAUGCAAUAUUAUCGAAGUGGAGGAGGGAGAGCGGGAGGGACAUGUGUCGNCGCUUGUUUGUCCUGUAAUAUAACCUAGCUCUCCUUUUAUAUAGUAGUACAUAAAAGUAUAAAUAUAGAUUUUAAUUUGCGUAAUGUUUCCUUGUUUGUUUUAUUGACUUCAUUUUACUAGUUUUAGAGUUACUACUGUUGGAGAAAAUUCAAAAUUUCCCAAUAAAUAUUAUUUUCGGAUUUUCGUUGCGGUAUUUGUUCUAACAACUA